rnacentral:siRNA from 1 species
CCUUCUUGGCAUACAGAUGCCU